AUUGAACGCUGGCGGCAUGCUUUACACAUGCAAGUCGAACGGUAACAGGCCGCAAGGUGCUGACGAGUGGCGAACGGGUGAGUAAUGCAUCGGAACGUGCCCAGUCGUGGGGGAUAACUGCUCGAAAGAGCAGCUAAUACCGCAUACGAUCUAUGGAUGAAAGCGGGGGACCGUAAGGCCUCGCGCGAUUGGAGCGGCCGAUGUCAGAUUAGGUAGUUGGUGGGGUAAAGGCUCACCAAGCCAACGAUCUGUAGCUGGUCUGAGAGGACGACCAGCCACACUGGGACUGAGACACGGCCCAGACUCCUACGGGAGGCAGCAGUGGGGAAUUUUGGACAAUGGGGGCAACCCUGAGCCAGCAAUGCCGCGUGCAGGAAGAAGGCCUUCGGGUUGUAAACUGCUUUUGUACGGAACGAAACGGUCUGGGUUAAUACCCUGGGCUAAUGACGGUACCGUAAGAAUGAGCACCGGCUAACUACGUGCCAGCCGCCGCUGUAACAC
rnacentral:rRNA from 1 species